UUUUUUUUAAUACCUUUAAUUUGAAAGUUUUUAUUUUUAAAUACCUAUAAUAUUGAAUUUUAUUUCGCUGUACGUUAAUUAAGAUUUUAUAUAAGUUAAUAUAUGGAUAUAUCUGCAUGUAAUGUAACAUUAUUGUAAAGUGAUAUAUAUAUAUAUAUAUAUGUGUAUAUUAUCUAAUUUUUUGUAUAUAUAUACACUCAUAUUUAUAUAUAUUUUUUCUUUUUCUUUUAAAAAAAAAAAAAAAAAACAAAAAAAAAAAAAAAAAAAAAAAAUGGAAAAAGCAAUUAAAGAAAGAAUUGAGAAAUGGAAAAAAGAAAAUGUCACUGAAGGAAAGGAAGUAACAAAUGAAGAUGUUUAUGAAAAUUUGACUGAAUUAAUUUUAGAUGGUAAAAAAUUUAGUACAAUAAAAACAGAAGAUAAUACUCUGAAAAAUUUUUAUGAAGCUGAUUUUAAAGAAGAAGAUGAAGAGGAUGAGGAAUUUGUACCAAAUGACAAUGAAGAAGAAGAUGAUGAUGAUGAACUUGAUGAAGAUUUAGAAGAAGAAGAACUUGAAGAAUUAAGCAAAGUAGAUUUAGACUCUGAAUUAAAUGAAGCUGAUGGUGGAAAUAAAGAUGAUAAAACCAAUAAAAGAAAAGAAGCUCCUUUAGAUAAUGAUGCUAAUGGAACUGAUCAUAAAAAAGCAAAAAUUGACUAAACUUUUUUUUUUUUUUUUUUUUUUUUUUUUUUUUUUUUUUUUUUUUUUUUAUAAGCAAAAAGGAUACAUAUAUAUAUAUAUAUAUAUAUAUAUUUAUCCUAUUUUUUCUUUUUAAAAGGAAUAAAAUAUUUAUAUAUCAUGUACCCCA
rnacentral:lncRNA from 1 species